rnacentral:rRNA from 1 species
UACGAAGGUCCCAAGCGUUAUCCGGAUUUAUUGGGUUUAAAGGGCUCGUAGGCGGCCAACUAAGUCAGACGUGAAAUCCCUCAGCUUAACUGGGGAACUGCGUCUGAUACUGGAUGGCUUGGAUCCGGGAGAGGGAUGCGGAAUUCCAGGUGUAGCGGUGAAAUGCGUAGAUAUCUGGAGGAACACCGGUGGCGAAGGCGGCAUCCUGGACCGGUAUUGACGCUGAGGAGCGAAAGCCAGGGGAGCAAACGGG